rnacentral:rRNA from 2 species
AGUCGUAACAAGGUUUCCGUUGGUGAACCAGCGGAAGGAUCAUUA